AGAUAUACAUUAAAAUCUUAUACUGCCCUGGCACGUGAGACCAAGGAAGAUACUGGCAUUGCUGUUUGCUGCAAGUGGCUGCCUUGAGUGGAGUUACACAACAGAGAAGCACCACGAGCAAAAGGCACCACAAGGAAUCUCAAGAAUAAAAGAGGACAUUUGAGCUUAAGAAGCUAUACUUUACUCACUCAGCUCUUCUCAGAAUAAGUGAAUGAUUUGUGGAGCUGAGACACAAUGGUUGUGGAGCUGUGGGAAAAAGGGAAGGAAAAAACUCCUGGCUGGACAUGGAAGUGUCUCCUGAGGUGACUAAGGCUGCCACUGACAACUCCCUGUCUCACUGGAUCUGAAAGAGAUGGAACAUGGGUGUCCACCCUUAGCCCAGAACAUCCAAAUUCUAGAUUGUUCCCAUUACAGAAUCAAGCCUCAUGGCUUGUUCAGUGAAUGGGAAUACUCGAAAUCUCAACAGUCAUGGUGUUGACCACUAAAUUCUUAAAACUCACAAAUGUACCUAGAGAUCUGUUCCCAAGACAGUGAUGAUGGAAGUGAACAAGGAGCAGUGAGAAUACUUCAUUAGCCCUUUAGGGAAAAUUACAAAUUGCAUGCACUCACA